rnacentral:rRNA from 1 species
CGGUUAAGUUAGAAAGGGCGCACGGUGGAUGCCUUGGCACUAGGAGCCGAUGAAGGACGGGACGAACACCGAUAUGCUUCGGGGAGCUGUAAGCAAGCUUUGAUCCGGAGAUUUCCGAAUGGGGAAACCCACCACUCGUAAUGGAGUGGUAUCCAUAUCU